UACAGAGGUCUCAACCGUUGUUCGGAUCCAUUGGGCGUAAAGGGUGCGUAGGCGGUCGUGCAAGUCGGAUGUGAAAUCUCAGGGCUCAACCCUGAAACUGCAUUCGAUACUGCGUGGCUAGAGUGCUGGAGAGGAGACUGGAAUUUACGGUGUAGCAGUGAAAUGCGUAGAUAUCGUAAGGAAGACCAGUGGCGAAGGCGAGUCUCUGGACAGCAACUGACGCUGAGGCACGAAGGCCAGGGGAGCAAACGGG
rnacentral:rRNA from 1 species